rnacentral:rRNA from 1 species
CGUAGUUGAUCAUGGCUCGAGGACGACGCUGGCGGCGUGCCUAAUACAUGCAAGUCGAGCGGACCAAAGGGAGCUUGCUCCUGGAGGUUAGCGGCGAACGGGUGAGUAACACGUGGGCAACCUGCCUGUAAGACUGGGAUAACAUCGAGAAAUCGGUGCUAAUACCGGAUAAUAAAAAGAACUGCAUGGUUCUUUUUUGAAAGAUGGUUUCGGCUAUCACUUACAGAUGGGCCCGCGGCGCAUUAGCUAGUUGGUGAGGUAACGGCUCACCAAGGCAACGAUGCGUAGCCGACCUGAGAGGGUGAUCGGCCACACUGGGACUGAGACACGGCCCAGACUCCUACGGGAGGCAGCAGUAGGGAAUCUUCCGCAAUGGACGAAAGUCUGACGGAGCAACGCCGCGUGAGUGAUGAAGGUUUUCGGAUCGUAAAACUCUGUUGUUAGGGAAGAACAAGUGCCGUUCGAAAGGGCGGCACCUUGACGGUACCUAACGAGAAAGCCACGGCUAACUACGUG